AGCCAUAUCCAAUGUUCCUCCUUGUAUCGGUCAAUCUAGGAGGACCAUUGGGCAUGGCUUU
rnacentral:pre_miRNA from 1 species